rnacentral:rRNA from 1 species
ACGUAGGGGACGAGCGUUGUCCGGAUUUACUGGGCGUAAAGGGCGCGUAGGCGGUCAUUUAAGUCAGCUGUGAAAUGGUGCGGCUUAACCGCAUCAUGCGGUUGAAACUGGAUGACUGGAGUGCUGGAGAGGCAAGUGGAAUUCCCAGUGUGGCGGUGGAAUGCGGAGAUAUUGGGAAGAGCACCGGUGGCGAAGGCGACUUGCUGGCCAGCAACUGACAUUGAGGCGCGUAAGCCAGGGGAACAAACGG